UACGUAGGGUGCAAGCGUUUGUCCGGAAUUAUUGGGCGUAAAGAGCUCGUAGGCGGUGUGUCGCGUCGGCCGUGAAACCUGCAGCUUAACUGUGGGCUUGCGGUCGAUACGGGCAUCACUGGAGUUCGGCAGGGGAGACUGGAAUUCCUGGUGUAGCGGUGAAAUGCGCAGAUAUCAGGAGGAACACCGGUGGCGGAAGGCGGGUCUCUGGGCCGAUACUGACGCUGAGGAGCGAAAGCGUGGGGAGCGAACGG
rnacentral:rRNA from 1 species